rnacentral:rRNA from 1 species
UGCCAGCCGCCGCGGUAAUACGGAAGGUGCAAGCGUUGUUCGGAUUGACUGGGCGUAAAGAGCACGUAGGCGGGUUUGUAAGUCAGAUGUGAAAUCCCAGAGCUCAACUUUGGAACUGCAUUUGAAACUAUAAAUCUUGAAUGCCUGAGGGGUUGGUAGAAUUCCUGGUGUAGGAGUGAAAUCCGUAGAUAUCAGGAGGAAUACCGGAGGCGAAGGCGGCCAACUGGCAGUGCAUUGACGCUGAGGUGCGAAAGCGUGGAGAGCAAACAGGAUUAGAUA